ACAGACUAGUCGUGCUACCUUCAAAGUGGUUACUAAUCGUACAUUUUCGACAAGGCAAAAGAAUGGAUGGUUAUAUACCUGCUCAUCUUACAGCCAUCGCCUAUGCUCUCCCACCCUCUUCGAUGAGGCGACAUCUCCCUGCUCCUUCCACGGCAUGACGGCAGUGCACUGCAUCGUCUAAAGCACCCCCAUGCUGCCCCUGGUUCGAUUCCUCCCAAGAGCGGAUCUGCGCCAAAGGGAAACUUUUCUUCCUCACGCGGAUAACGGCCACUGGCUGCUCCA